GAUUCGUCACACUAUCAUUAACUGAAUCCAUAGGUUAAUGAGGCGAACCGGGGGAACUGAAACAUCUAAGUACCCCGAGGAAAAGAAAUCAACCGAGAUUCCCCCAGUAGCGGCGAGCGAACGGGGAGGAGCCCAGAGCCUGAAUCAGCAUGUGUGUUAGUGGAAGCGUCUGGAAAGGCGCGCGAUACAGGGUGACAGCCCCGUACACAAAAGCGCAUGUGCUGUGAGCUCGAUGAGUAGGGCGGGACACGUGGUAUCCUGUCUGAAUAUGGGGGGACCAUCCUCCAAGGCUAAAUACUCCUGACUGACCGAUAGUGAACCAGUACCGUGAGGGAAAGGCGAAAAGAACCCCGGCGAGGG
rnacentral:rRNA from 1 species